GGGUGACGAAACGCGUGGGAGGGCCCGGGGGGGCAGGGCUUCCGGGGGUGGUUUCCUCGCCUUUAAUUUUGGACAUUUGAAUAUGGGGUAAAACACAAUCCUCAAAGAGAAAGGCCAAUUGUGGGUUCUGGGAGUGUGAGGCGGUUCCUGGGGCACUACCCAUCAUUACGACAUUUGCUCACAUUUUCUGCCAUUCCCACAGGAGGCCAGAAUCUUCCAUGAAUGGACAGGAAAUUAUGACUUUCUUCAAGACUCCAUAGGUCUUGCUCAGUGGUUAUCCACAGAAUCCUACUGAAUAAAGGUCACUCUUUUGGGUACUGCCCAUGCUAUUCAAACGAGCCGCACACCCAGCCUCAGGGCACUCCCGUGCUGGUUGCGGGGUUCAGAAGACGGCAAAAAUUAAAGUCCCCAAAGGGAUCAGUGCUCCGGGAAAGGUGGAAGGGACACGUGGAGAUCUGGAAGAGCCCCACAAAGGCAGCAAGAUGUGCCUUGGGCUCCGGAGGCAGAGCCAACGUUGGGGCUGUCGGACAAAAGACCGAAGUCUGUGUUUGCUGAAUUAAUGAAGGAACCUGACGGUGCCUGACAUGCAGCAAGUGCCAAACAAGAGUUUAACAUAAUGAGUCUGUUUCUGGGGUCCAACGCAGCUGCGAUUAAAUAUUGUGCUUUUGCUGUC